rnacentral:rRNA from 1 species
GGUGAACGCUGGCGGUAGGCCUAACACAUGCAAGUCGAACGGCAGCACAGUAAGAGCUUGCUCUUACGGGUGGCGAGUGGCGGACGGGUGAGGAAUACAUCGGAAUCUACUUUUUCGUGGGGGAUAACGUAGGGAAACUUACGCUAAUACCGCAUACGACCUACGGGUGAAAGCAGGGGAUCUUCGGACCUUGCGCGAUUGAAUGAGCCGAUGUCGGAUUAGCUAGUUGGCGGGGUAAAGGCCCACCAAGGCGGCGAUCCGUAGCUGGUCUGAGAGGAUGAUCAGCCACACUGGAACUGAGACACGGUCCAGACUCCUACGGGAGGCAGCAGUGGGGAAUAUUGGACAAUGGGCGCAAGCCUGAUCCAGCCAUACCGCGUGGGUGAAGAAGGCCUUCGGGUUGUAAAGCCCUUUUGUUGGGAAAGAAAAGCAGCAGGUUAAUACCCCGCUGUUCUGACGGUACCCAAAGAAUAAGCACCGGCUAACUUCGUG